GACGAACGCUGGCGGCGUGCUUAACACAUGCAAGUCGAACGAAGUGGCGAACGGGUGAGUAACGCGUAAUUAACCUGCCCUUCAGAGGGGGACAACAGUUGGCAACGACUGCUAAUACCGCAUACUGAUGGAGUGGAUUGCGUCUGAUUAGCUAGUGGGAGGGGUAACGGCCAACCAAGGCGAUGAUCAGUAGCCGGGCUGAGAGGAUGAACGGCCACAGUGGGACUGAGACACGGCCCAGACGCCUACGGGAGGCAGCAGUGGGGAAUCUUCCGCAAUGGACGAAAGUCUGACGGAGCAACGCCGCGUGAGUGAUGACGGCCUUCGGGUUGUAAAGCGCUGUUAAUCGGGACGCGGUACCGGAAUAGAAAGCCACGGCUAACUACGUGCCAGCCGCCGCGGUAAUAC
rnacentral:rRNA from 1 species